CUACGGGCUGCUGCAGUGGGGAAUCUUAGACAAUGGGGGAAACCCUGAUCUAGCCAUGCCGCGUGAGUGAUGAAGGCCUUAGGGUCGUAAAGCUCUUUCGCCAGGGAUGAUAAUGACAGUACCUGGUAAAGAAACCCCGGCUAACUCCGUGCCAGCAGCCGCGGUAAUACGGAGGGGGUUAGCGUUGUUCGGAAUUACUGGGCGUAAAGCGCGCGUAGGCGGGCUGUUAAGUUAGAGGUGAAAUCCCGGGGCUCAACCCCGGAACUGCCUUUAAUACUGGCAGCCUAGAGUUCGAGAGAGGUGAGUGGAAUUACGAGUGUAGAGGUGAAAUUCGUAGAUAUUCGGAGGAACACCAGUGGCGAAGGCGGCUCACUGGCUCGAUACUGACGCUGAGGUGCGAAAGCGUGGGGAGCAAACAGGAUUAGAUACCCCCGUAGUC
rnacentral:rRNA from 1 species